rnacentral:lncRNA from 1 species
UGUUCCCUGACAUGAAUGAAUAGAAAAUCAAGGAAAAAUUAAGAGGAAAAAUCAUGGAAGGCACAUGAUGGACCAGGUUCAUUUCUGCAAGGCAGGGUGAGAAGGUCUACAUCUUCAGAUGCUUAGGAGAAAUACGACUCCAUAUGUAAAGUCCACCAAGGUGCUCAGUGAACAAAAGCUGCACCUAUUGCUUAAGAAGAAGAAAAGAAGUUGAUUAUUCCUUAUUUGAAAUGCAUGGCACCAGAAGUUGUUUCAGAUUUCAGAUUUUUCAGAUUUGGAAUAAUUGCGUGUAUAAUGAGAUAUCUUGAGGAUGUGACCCAAAUCUCAAUACAAAAUUCAUUUAAAUUUAUUUGUGUUUCAUAUAUACCUUAUACACAUA